rfam:Cobetia sp. TCD-24C scaffold_4, whole genome shotgun sequence.
UCCUCCACCUGCUGGGGGCAGAUGAAGUGGAUGUGCGGGUCGACACCACCGGCGGUGAGAAUCUUGCCCUCACCGGCGAUGAUCUCGGUGCCCGGGCCGAUCACGAUAUCCACAUCGGGCUGGGUGUCGGGGUUGCCCGCCUUGCCGAUGGCCGCGAUGCGUCCGGCCUUGAGACCGACAUCCGCCUUGACGAUGCCCCACCAGUCCAGAAUCAGCGCAUUGGUGAUCACGGUAUCCAUCACGCUGUCGUCGGCGCGCUGGCUCUGGCCCAUGCCGUCGCGGA